GACAGAGGGUGCAAACGUUGUUCGGAAUUACUGGGCGUAAAGCGCGUGUAGGCUGCUCUGCAAGUCGGAUGUGAAAGCCCUGGGCUCAACCUAGGAAGUGCACUCGAAACUGCGGAGCUUGAGUCUCGGAGAGGAUCGCGGAAUUCUCGGUGUAGAGGUGAAAUUCGUAGAUAUCGGGAGGAACACCGGUGGCGAAGGCGGCGAUCUGGGUCGAUACUGACGCUGAGGUGCGAAAGCGUGGGGAGCAAACAGG
rnacentral:rRNA from 1 species